ensembl:misc_RNA Y_RNA Y RNA
GGCUGGUCGGAGAGCAGUGGCACUUACAACUAAUGGAUCACACCCAAAGUUACAGAUGCCUUUGUUCCUUCUCCAUUUCCACUACUUCACUUAAUUAGCCUUUA